GGACGAAAGUCUGACGGAGCAACGCCGCGUGAGUGAUGAAGGUUUUCGGAUCGUAAAGCUCUGUUGUUAGGGAAGAACAAGUACCGUUCGAAUAGGGCGGUACCUUGACGGUACCUAACCAGAAAGCCACGGCUAACUACGUGCCAGCAGCCGCGGUAAUACGUAGGUGGCAAGCGUUGUCCGGAAUUAUUGGGCGUAAAGGGCUCGCAGGCGGUUUCUUAAGUCUGAUGUGAAAGCCCCCGGCUCAACCGGGGAGGGUCAUUGGAAACUGGGGAACUUGAGUGCAGAAGAGGAGAGUGGAAUUCCACGUGUAGCGGUGAAAUGCGUAGAGAUGUGGAGGAACCAGUGGCGAGGCGACUCUCUGGUCUGUAACUGACGCUGAGGAGCGAAAGCGUGGGGAGCGAACAGGAUUAGAUACCCUGGUAGUCCACGCCGUAAAGAUGAUCUAGUGUUAGGGGGUUUCCGCCCCUUGUGCUGCAGCUAACGCAUUAAGCACUCCGCCUGGGAGUACGGUCGCAAGACUGAAACUCAAAGGAAUUGACGGGGGCCCGCACAAGCGGUGGAGCAUGUGGUUUAAUUCGAAGCAACGCGAAGAACCUUACCAGGUCUUGACAUCCUCUGACAAUCCUAGAGAUAGGACGUCCCCUUCGGGGGCAGAGUGACAGGUGGUGCAUGGUUGUCGUCAGCUCGUGUCGUGAGAUGUUGGGUUAAGUCCCGCAACGAGCGCAACCCUUGAUCUUAGUUGCCAGCAUUCAGUUGGGCACUCUAAGGUGACUGCCGGUGACAAACCGGAGGAAGGUGGGGAUGACGUCAAAUCAUCAUGCCCCUUAUGACCUGGGCUACACACGUGCUACAAUGGACAGAACAAAGGGCAGCGAAACCGCGAGGYUAAGCCAAUCCCACAAAUCUGUUCUCAGUUCGGAUCGCASUCUGCAACUCGACUGCRUGAAGCUGGAAUCGCUAGUAAUCGCGGAUCARCMUGCCGCGKUGAAUACKUUCCCGGGCCUUGKACACAC
rnacentral:rRNA from 1 species